rnacentral:rRNA from 1 species
CUUAACACAUGCAAGUCGAGGGGCAGCAUGAACUUAGCUUGCUAAGUUUGAUGGCGACCGGCGCACGGGUGAGUAACACGUAUCCAACCUGCCGAUGACUCGGGGAUAGCCUUUCGAAAGAAAGAUUAAUACCCGAUGGCAUAGUUCUUCCGCAUGGUAGGACUAUUAAAGAAUUUCGGUCAUCGAUGGGGAUGCGUUCCAUUAGGUUGUUGGCGGGGUAACGGCCCACCAAGCCUUCGAUGGAUAGGGGUUCUGAGAGGAAGGUCCCCCACAUUGGAACUGAGACACGGUCCAAACUCCUACGGGAGGCAGCAGUGAGGAAUAUUGGUCAAUGGACGAGAGUCUGAACCAGCCAAGUAGCGUGAAGGAUGACUGCCCUAUGGGUUGUAAACUUCUUUUAUACGGGAAUAAAGUGAGGCACGUGUGCCUUUUUGUAUGUACCGUAUGAAUAAGGAUCGGCUAACUCCGUGCCAGCAGCCGCGGUAAUACGGAGGAUCCGAGCGUUAUCCGGAUUUAUUGGGUUUAAAGGGAGCGUAGGCGGACGCUUAAGUCAGUUGUGAAAGUUUGCGGCUCAACCGUAAAAUUGCAGUUGAUACUGGGUGUCUUGAGUACAGUAGAGGCAGGCGGAAUUCGUGGUGUAGCGGUGAAAUGCUUAGAUAUCACGAAGAACUCCGAUUGCGAAGGCAGCUUGCUGGACUGUAACUGACGCUGAUGCUCGAAAGUGUGGGUAUCAAACAGGAUUAGAUACCCUGGUAGUCCACACAGUAAACGAUGAAUACUCGCUGUUUGCGAUAUACAGUAAGCGGCCAAGCGAAAGCGUUAAGUAUUCCACCUGGGGAGUACGCCGGCAACGGUGAAACUCAAAGGAAUUGACGGGGGCCCGCACAAGCGGAGGAACAUGUGGUUUAAUUCGAUGAUACGCGAGGAACCUUACCCGGGCUUGAAUUGCAACUGAAUGAUGUGGAGACAUGUCAGCCGCAAGGCAGUUGUGAAGGUGCUGCAUGGUUGUCGUCAGCUCGUGCCGUGAGGUGUCGGCUUAAGUGCCAUAACGAGCGCAACCCUUAUCGAUAGUUACCAUCAGGUUAUGCUGGGGACUCUGUCGAGACUGCCGUCGUAAGAUGUGAGGAAGGUGGGGAUGACGUCAAAUCAGCACGGCCCUUACGUCCGGGGCUACACACGUGUUACAAUGGGGGGUACAGAAGGCAGCUACACGGCGACGUGAUGCUAAUCCCGAAAGCCUCUCUCAGUUCGGAUUGGAGUCUGCAACCCGACUCCAUGAAGCUGGAUUCGCUAGUAAUCGCGCAUCAGCCACGGCGCGGUGAAUACGUUCCCGGGCCUUGUACACACCGCCCGUCAAGCCAUGAAAGCCGGGGGUACCUGAAGUGCGUAACCGCGAGGAGCGCCCUAGGGUAAAACUGGUGAUUGGGGCUAAGUCAUAACA